rnacentral:rRNA from 2 species
GCAAGUCGAGCGAAUCUUGAGGUAGCUUGCACCUCUUGUGUUAGCGGCGGACGGGUGAGUAACACGUGGGCAACCUGCCUGUAAGACUGGGAUAACUUCGGGAAACCGGAGCUAAUACCGGAUAAUCCUUUUCCUCUCAUGAGGAAAAGUUGAAAGUCGGUUUACGCUGACACUUACAGAUGGGCCCGCGGCGCAUUAGCUAGUUGGUGAGGUAACGGCUCACCAAGGCGACGAUGCGUAGCCGACCUGAGAGGGUGAUCGGCCACACUGGGACUGAGACACGGCCCAGACUCCUACGGGAGGCAGCAGUAGGGAAUCUUCCGCAAUGGACGAAAGUCUGACGGAACAACGCCGCGUGAGCGAUGAAGGCCUUCGGGUCGUAAAGCUCUGUUGUUAGGGAAGAACAAGUACCGGAGUAACUGCCGGUACCUUGACGGUACCUAACCAGAAAGCCACGGCUAACUACGUGCCAGCAGCCGCGGUAAUACGUAGGUGGCAAGCGUUGUCCGGAAUUAUUGGGCGUAAAGCGCGCGCAGGCGGUCCUUUAAGUCUGAUGUGAAAGCCCACGGCUCAACCGUGG